rnacentral:tRNA from 1 species
GGGUUACUAGCCCAGCGGGAGAGCGUUCCGGUCACGACGGAAAGGAUACUGGUUCAAUCCCAGUUUCGCCCACCG